GGCCUGAUGGCACAACGGUUAAUGCACCUGCCUUUCCUAACAUAGAUCGAAGAAUCAUGUAGGCGAUGUCGGUUCGACUCCGGCUCAGGUCA